rnacentral:rRNA from 1 species
GAUGAACGCUGGCGGCGUGCCUAAUACAUGCAAGUCGAGCGAACAGACGAGGAGCUUGCUCCUCUGACGUUAGCGGCGGACGGGUGAGUAACACGUGGAUAACCUACCUAUAAGACUGGGAUAACUUCGGGAAACCGGAGCUAAUACCGGAUAAUAUAUUGAACCGCAUGGUUCAAUAGUGAAAGACGGUUUUGCUGUCACUUAUAGAUGGAUCCGCGCCGCAUUAGCUAGUUGGUAAGGUAACGGCUUACCAAGGCAACGAUGCGUAGCCGACCUGAGAGGGUGAUCGGCCACACUGGAAUUGAGACACGGUCCAGACUCCUACGGGAGGCAGCAGUAGGGAAUCUUCCGCAAUGGGCGAAAGCUUGACGGAGCAACGCCGCGUGAGUGAUGAAGGUCUUCGGAUCGUAAAACUCUGUUAUUAGGGAAGAACAAAUGUGUAAGUAACUAUGCACGUCUUGACGGUACCUAAUCAGAAAGCCACGGCUAACUACGUG